rnacentral:misc_RNA from 1 species
GGGAGCUGGCUUGCCCUGAGC